GACUAGCUCUAUAACCCUUUGUGACAUACCUAUAACUGUUGCUUCGGCGGGUAGGGUCUCCGCGACCCUCCCGGCCUCCCGCCUCCGGGCGGGUCGGCGCCCGCCGGAGGAUAACCAAACUCUGAUUUAACGACGUUUCUUCUGAGUGGUACAAGCAAAUAAUCAAAACUUUUAACAACGGAUCUCUUGGUUCUGGCAUCGAUGAAGAACGCAGCGAAAUGCGAUAAGUAAUGUGAAUUGCAGAAUUCAGUGAAUCAUCGAAUCUUUGAACGCACAUUGCGCCCGCCAGCAUUCUGGCGGGCAUGCCUGUUCGAGCGUCAUUUCAACCCUCAAGCUCUGCUUGGUGUUGGGGCCCUACAGCUGAUGUAGGCCCUCAAAGGUAGUGGCGGACCCUCCCGGAGCCUCCUUUGCGUAGUAACUUUACGUCUCGCACUGGGAUCCGGAGGGACUCUUGCCGUAAAACCCCCCAAUUUUCCAAAGGUUGACCUCGGAUCAGGUAGGAAUACCCGCUGAACUUAAGCAUAUCAAUAAGCGGAGGAA
rnacentral:rRNA from 1 species